ACGAACGCUGGCGGCGUGCUUAACACAUGCAAGUCGAACGGAAAGGCCUGCUUUCCCUUGUGGAUUGCGGGUACUCGAGUGGCGAACGGGUGAGUAACACGUGAGUGAUCUGCCCCCAACUUGGGUAUAAGCCUGGGAAACUGGGUCUAAUUCCCGAUAGGACUGCAGGGUGGUGCCUGUGGUGGAAAACGAUUUUCUAGUGGUUGGGGAUGAGCUCGCGGCCUAUCAGCUUGUUGGUGGGGUAAUGGCCUACCAAGGCGGCGACGGGUAGCCGGCCUGAGAGGGUGGACGGCCACAUUGGGACUGAGAUACGGCCCAGACUCCUACGGGAGGCAGCAGUGGGGAAUAUUGCACAAUGGGGGGAAGCCUGAUGCAGCGACGCCGCGUGGGGGAUGACGGCCUUCGGGUUGUAAACUCCUUUCGACCGCGAGGAAGCCACCUGGUUGGAAGGGUGGUGACGGUAGUGGUAGAAGAAGCACCGGCUAACUACGUG
rnacentral:rRNA from 1 species